rnacentral:tRNA from 1 species
GCGCUCGUAGUGUAACGGUAUCAUACAAGCUUCCCAUGCUUGUGACCCGGGUUCGACUCCCGGCGGGCAGGUU